UUUUGAUUGUUUUGUGAGAUAGAGAGGAUGAAUAGUUUGUGCCGGUCAUCAUCCAACCAAAAACAUAAAAAACUUAAAACACAGAGAUGCAUUAUCUAGACAAAGAAUGUGACCAUUCACGAACCAGUUCUCUUAUGCACAUUACAAACCAACCCCACUUCACCACUUUACUACUUUCAUCUCAAUUAAUAAUCCAAAUUCUCUCAUGC
rnacentral:lncRNA from 1 species